GAUGGCGACCGGCGCACGGGUGCGUAACGCGUAUGCAACCUACCCUUUACUGCGGGAUAGCCCGGGGAAACUCGGAUUAAUACCGCAUGGUAUCAUUUGAUGGCAUCUGAAGAUGAUUAAAGAUUUAUCGGUAAAGGAUGGGCAUGCGUGACAUUAGUUAGUUGGUGAGGUAAAGGCUCACCAAGACGAUGAUGUCUAGGGGUUCUGAGAGGAUGAUCCCCCACACUGGCACUGAGAUACGGGCCAGACUCCUACGGGAGGCAGCAGUAGGGAAUAUUGGUCAAUGGGCGAGAGCCUGAACCAGCCAUGCCGCGUGCAGGAAGACGGCCUUCUGGGUUGUAAACUGCUUUUAUCAGGGAACAAAAAGGCCAUGCGUGGCAAAUUGCGUGUACCUGAAGAAUAAGCACCGGCUAACUCCGUGCCAGCAGCCGCGGUAAUACGGAGGGUGCAAGCGUUGUCCGGAUUUAUUGGGUUUAAAGGGUGCGUAGGCGGCCUUAUAAGUCAGUGGUGAAAUCCUUCGGCUCAACCGGAGAACUGCCAUUGAUACUGUAGGGCUUGAGUACAGACGAGGUAGGCGGAAUUUAUGGUGUAGCGGUGAAAUGCAUAGAUACCAUAAAGAACACCUAUAGCGAAGGCAGCUUACUAGACUGUAACUGACGCUGAGGCACGAAAGCGUGGGGAGCGAACAGGAUUAGAUACCCUGGUAGUCCACGCCGUAAACG
rnacentral:rRNA from 1 species